rnacentral:lncRNA from 1 species
AUAAAAUGAUGGAAAACUGCAUUGAUUUCAUUUUUGUUAUAUGUAUGUAACUGUGUACAUUGGUUUCAUUGGGAUAUGCAUUUAAAUAUAAGCAGAUGUGGUAUGAUUGCCAAUGAGACAACUGUCCACCAAAGACAAAAUGAUACAGAAAUUAACAACUAUGUCACUGUACUGCCUUCAACAAUGAGUAAGACCCAUACCACACAGCAAGCUACAUGUAUAAAAGGCCCAAAAAUGACAAAUAGAAAACAAUUUAAACAAGAAAACUUAUGGUAUGAUUUAUGUACAAAUAAUAAACAAAACAAAAAAAAAAGGAUUAACAGCACCAAAAUAAAACAUUGAAUUACAGACCAUGCAUUAAUAUUAUACUCAUAUAAAAAUGAAGUAACAUAAGUACUAAGUUUCACCUUAAUUUAAAAUAUCCUAGUUUCAAAACAUCAAGCAAAUAGGAAACCACUUAGUAUUCCUUAACUUUUUCAUGAGAAAAUUAUCAAGAGAAAAGUGACAGAUACCAAAGGGAUAAUCAAACACAAAGUAUAAAACAAAUUGACAAUGUCAUGGACAAAAAAGAUAAACAGCCAAUAAUCAAACUGCAGUACACAAGACAAAACAUAGAAGCAAUGCAAAGCAAUGUUAUCAAAAAUCUAGAUAUAUCCUGAGAGGUUUCAUGUUUGUAUGUUCACUCAAAAUGAAACUUGUUAUUCUUUAAAGCCAGUGGAAAUGAACUGCUGCAGGUACAAAAAAAAAUACCAUGUUGACUGAUUUCACAUCAUAAACCAUCAGUACUGACCAACAGUGAAAAUAAAGCUACUCAACCC